AUGACCUACAAACGAUUCUGCAAUUGUUUCACAUUUGUGGCAUGUAACUUGUCGGUUCGUUUGAAUGCAGAUUAUGUGAUUCAAUCGGCUAUUGGACAAGCUGGUGCUGCUGACGAGGGGACGCAUGCCAGAUCCAUUGCUAAGUACACUCCGAUACGCAACAAAAGGCUAACUCUGCCUGGAGUUCAGGAAAGCCCUUCUGAUAUUCCUAAUCCUCUAGCUAUAGUUCAUCCAGAUGCAUACCACGUGCAAGAGCUUGACUAUGGUUACUCGCCUUUCGAGUUUGAGCUGGAGCAGGUCCACUAUCCCGAUCAUGUUUGCCUUGGAUUUUACGAUGGCGUCGAGUACCUCACAUGCAGGGAUACUCUUGGAAGUGUUUGGUAUGACAGCUCGCGACCAACACCUUUGAAACUGGAUGGCAACAAGAUUAAGUACCAAUACAGUCUGACAGGGGAGAUGCACUACAAUGGGAUGGAGGCUUGGGUACGUGGCUUCAAUGAGAGAGAGAUGAAGAUGGUUGACAUGGUUGGAUUACCAGUGUGGAGGGGGUUUGCAUCUCCUGACGUGCCUGUAAGUGAAUGUGAAACCCUAAACUUUGUAUAA
rnacentral:rRNA from 1 species